rnacentral:tRNA from 1 species
UCCGCCUUAGCUCAGUUGGUAGAGCAGCUGACUGUUAAUCAGCGGGUCGGUGGUUCGAGCCCACCAGGCGGAGCCA